AAAUGACAUUCCGGGAAUGGAAUUGUCUAAAGUGGGUGCUUUCUCUGGGUUGCAGGGAUACUGAGCCAUCUGGGACUGGAUGGGCUUUCCUGUCUUCUCUCUUGGGAGCUGCUGCAUCUCAGCAUUCAAGGACGGACUGUGGCUGUCGUUUUUCCCUCCCUGUGAGGACAGGAACCAGGCUCUCUCAUGUCGCUAGUGCCCAGCGUUUGACGUAUACUAGGUGCUCGUAGAAGUCUGGAGGAGUGACCUUCUCCACUUUACAGACAAGGAAACUGUGGCUCAAGAGGGAACUCUGCUUCGUAUUAUAUAACAACAUAAAUAGGAGAAGCAUUUUAAAGAGAAGAGAUACAGGUAUAUGAAUAACUGAAU